GACGAACGCUGGCGGCGUGCCUAAUACAUGCAAGUCGAACGGACUGACUGGGAGCUUGCUCUUGUUCGGUCAGCGGCGGACGGGUGAGUAACACGUGGGCAACCUCCCCGCAAGACCGGGAUAACCCCGGGAAACCGGCGCUAAUACCAGAUAACACCGAAGACCGCAGGGUCUUUGGGUGAAAGGCGGCGCAAGCCGCCGCUUGCGGAUGGUCGCGGGGCGCUUGCGCUAGUUGGUGAGGCAAUGGCUCACCCAGGCGGCGGUGCGUAGCCGGCCUGGGAGGGUGACCCGCCACAUAGGCCUUGGGGAAGCACCAGGAGUGCAUCGGCCGCAAGGGGUGGGAGCUUUUGGAAGCGGCGCCGCGGCAGCGUAGAAGGCCGCCGGGUCGUGAAGGACUGUUGUGGGGUUCGAAGGAGCGUCGUUUGGAGACGGCGCGGGGGUGACGGUACCGGAUGAGGAAGCACCGGCUAACUACGUG
rnacentral:rRNA from 1 species